rnacentral:rRNA from 1 species
AUUGAACGCUGGCGGCAGGCCUAACACAUGCAAGUCGAGCGGAUGAGAGGAGCUUGCUUCUCGAUUCAGCGGCGGACGGGUGAGUAAUGCCUAGGAAUCUGCCUGGUAGUGGGGGACAACGUUUCGAAAGGAACGCUAAUACCGCAUACGUCCUACGGGAGAAAGCAGGGGACCUUCGGGCCUUGCGCUAUCAGAUGAGCCUAGGUCGGAUUAGCUAGUUGGUGAGGUAAUGGCUCACCAAGGCGACGAUCCGUAACUGGUCUGAGAGGAUGAUCAGUCACACUGGAACUGAGACACGGUCCAGACUCCUACGGGAGGCAGCAGUGGGGAAUAUUGGGCAAUGGCGAAAGCCUGAUCCAGCCAUGCCGCGUGUGUGAAGAAGGUCUUCGGAUUGUAAAGCACUUUAAGUUGGGAGGAAGGGUUGUAGAUUAAUACUCUGCAAUUUUGACGUUACCGACAGAAUAAGCACCGGCUAACUCUGUGCCAGCCGCCGCCGUAAGAC